rnacentral:rRNA from 1 species
AGUCGACGAAGCACCUUGAUUUGAUUCUUCGGAUGAAGAUCUUGGUGACUGAGUGGCGGACGGGUGAGUAACGCGUGGGUAACCUGCCUCAUACAGGGGGAUAACAGUUAGAAAUGACUGCUAAUACCGCAUAAGACCACAGCACCGCAUGGUGCAGGGGUAAAAACUCCGGUGGUAUGAGAUGGACCCGCGUCUGAUUAGGUGGUCGGUGGGGUAACGGCCUACCAAGCCGACGAUCAGUAGCCGACCUGAGAGGGUGACCGGCCACAUUGGGACUGAGACACGGCCCAAACUCCUACGGGAGGCAGCAGUGGGGAAUAUUGCACAAUGGGGGAAACCCUGAUGCAGCGACGCCGCGUGAGCGAUGAAGUAUUUCGGUAUGUAAAGCUCUAUCAGCAGGGAAGAAAAUGACGGUACCUGACUAAGAAGCACCGGCUAAAUACGUGCCAGCAGCCGCGGUAAUACGUAUGGUGCAAGCGUUAUCCGGAUUUACUGGGUGUAAAGGGAGCGUAGACGGAGUGGCAAGUCUGAUGUGAAAACCCGGGGCUCAACCCCGGGACUGCAUUGGAAACUGUCAAUCUGGAGUACCGGAGAGGUAAGCGGAAUUCCUAGUGUAGCGGUGAAAUGCGUAGAUAUUAGGAGGAACACCAGUGGCGAAGGCGGCUUACCGGACGGUAACUGACGUUGAGGCUCGAAAGCGUGGGGAGCAAACAGGAUUAGAUACCCUGGUAGUCCACGCCGUAAACGAUGACUACUAGGUGUCGGGCAG